UACGUAGGGGGCAAGCGUUGUCCGGAUUCAUUGGGCGUAAAGCGCGCGCAGGCGGCUUCGUAAGUCGGCCGUGAAAUCUCCAGGCUCAACUUGGAGGGGUCGGGCGAGACUGCGGAGCUCGAGGCAGGUAGAGGGCGGUGGAAUUCCGGGUGUAGUGGUGGAAUGCGUAGAGAUCCGGAGGAACACCAGUGGCGAAGGCGGCCGCCUGGGCAUGACCUGACGCUGAGGCGCGAAAGCGUGGGGAGCGAACAGG
rnacentral:rRNA from 1 species